rnacentral:rRNA from 1 species
AUUUGUGACAAUGGCACGUUGAAAGCACGACAUCUCGUCGGGUCUGUCAAGUUAAGCAACGUUGGGGCCUGGUUAGUACUUGGAUCGGAGACGGCCUGGGAAUCCCCAGGUGUUGUAGACA